CAACUUUCCUCAACGGAUCUCUUGGUUCUUGCAUCCAUGAAGAACGCACCGAAAUGCCAAAAGUAAUGUGAAUAUGCAUCAAUUCCGUGAAUUAUCAAAUACUUGGAACGCAAAUUGCACUCUUCUGGUAUUCCGAAGAGCAUGCUCGCUUGAGGGUUGUU
rnacentral:rRNA from 1 species